rnacentral:snoRNA from 1 species
AAGGUUUCAGAGCUGCUUUCUAUCAAGAGAAAACAUAUUUCUGACGUGCUGAAUAACCCUUUGGAGGCAAAUUAGUAGCAGGACUAAUGUAGCUAUGACUGUCUAUCCCUUCAGACAAGC